AAUUAGUCUACAGCCUGAACACGCCUGAUCUUGUCUCUCAGAAGCUAAGCAGGGUCGGGCCUGGUUAGUACUUGGAUGGAAGAGAGUGCAAUUAAAUUU
rnacentral:rRNA from 1 species